GACGAACGCUGGCGGCGUGCUUAACACAUGCAAGUCGAGCGGUAAGGCCCUUUCGGGGGUACACGAGCGGCGAACGGGUGAGUAACACGUGGGUGACCUGCCCUCAGCUCUGGGAUAAGCCUGGGAAACCGGGUCUAAUACUGGAUAUGACUCCAUGACGCAUGUUGUGGGGUGGAAAGCCUUGUGCGGCUGAGGAUGGGCCCGCGGCCUAUCAGCUUGUUGGUGGGGUGAUGGCCUACCAAGGCGACGACGGGUAGCCGGCCUGA
rnacentral:rRNA from 1 species